UACGGAGGAUGCGAGCGUUAUCCGGAUUUAUUGGGUUUAAAGGGUUCGUAGGCGGCUUUUUAAGUCAGCGGUGAAAUUUUGCAGCUUAACUGUAACAGUGCCGUUGAUACUGGGGAGCUAGGAUUUGGUUGCUGUUGGUGGAAUGUGUGGUGUAGCGGUGAAAUGCUUAGAGAUCACACAGAAUAUCGAUUGCGAAGGCAGCUCACAAAGCCAAGAUUGACGCUGAGGCACGAAAGUGUGGGGAUCAAACAGGAUUAGA
rnacentral:rRNA from 1 species